GCCAUCAGAAAGAAAUCCAAAAAAAAAAACCUAACAAAUUAAACCAAUACACAAAAGAUGAUCUAAACAGACGGGCCAGACGAAAUGGAUACCAAGCGAAUCUUUGAAAUGGCUUUGUUAGAUUUUCAUUUUGCUUAGCUUUCCAUUUAACAAAUCUUAUGGGCCUUCUAGUCCUGAACAUCGUUUCCACAACAGUCAGCGAUUGGAUAAAUCUUUUUCAACUUUUCAAGCUUUGAGUGUAAAAACUGCUGACUAGGCCAGAAAACUGUUGCCAUUCAUUAACAAUGGUUUAUUGAACAUUUUUGAGGUUGUAAAAUCUCAACAAUAUUUCGAUGGUUGCUAGAAAUGUUCAUUUUUACUUGGAAGGAUAUUGGGAAGUACAGAAACAAGAAUGAAGUAUUGGAUAGGGGCCAUAUUGGGUAGUGAUGUUGUCAAGUGGGCUAUGUAAAACAACUCAAUAUACCAAAUUUA
rnacentral:sRNA from 1 species